AAGCAUUGUUGCUUUGAGAUAGAGAGAAUUGAUAAUGCUGGCCCUAUUGUUUGUUUCGAUUAAAUAACCGUGGGUAUUGGGUACUCUGAAGUCGUGACAGGCUGGAAGAAGUGACAUUUGAGAACAUCUGUGGCAUUUCAUCGGGAAAUCCCUAUGCUAGUCUCGAUUUUCACCAAUCAAUCUUCAUAGAAAUGGAUAGAAAGCUCCGUCGCAAAAUGAACCCAAAAAGACUCGCCGAAAAAUUCGAAGGAUCGGAUUCGGAAUUCAUCAAACUAGUUUCAGCAGAAGGGUAUGUGUUCAUCGUGAAACAUAAACAUGCCUUGAUCCAUCAGAACCAUCAGAACUAUACUCGCCUGUCGGAGCAAAGAAAUCGAAACGAACACGAUCCUUUUUAGGAACAUAUCAAUGGCAGUGCUCGAGAACGUUGUUAAGUACCUGAAGUAUGCGCAAAACUGUGCGAAACAGUCUGAACAGCUUGCUAAAUUUGUCGUUACACCUAUCAAGUUGCAUGAGAUGAUAAUUGCCGCAGGUUAUCUGCAAUUGUAGAUGUUAGGGCUCACUCAAUCAUUCUUUUGGAAUACCCAAUGGAUUGCUGUCCUUUUGACCGUGUGUUUUUAGUGUUCGAUUCAAAAUAAUAGGACAAUAUAAUGAAUAAACAUUUCAAGUUAUGCAUAAUAAUACGUGA